UACGUAGGGGGCAAGCGUUGUCCGGAAUUAUUGGGCGUAAAGGGCUCGUAGGCGGUCUGUUGCGUCGGGAGUGAAAUCUUACAGCUUAACUGUGAACUUGCUUUCGAUACGGGCAGACUGGAGUACUGCAGGGGAGACUGGAAUUCCUGGUGUAGCGGUGGAAUGCGCAGAUAUCAGGAGGAACACCGGUGGCGAAGGCGGGUCUCUGGGCAGUAACUGACGCUGAGGAGCGAAAGCGUGGGGAGCGAACAGG
rnacentral:rRNA from 1 species